UUUUCCUUGGUUGAUGGUGCCUCGAUCUAUAUCCCUUUGUCGUUUCAUUUCCUUCAUCAAUCCUCCUCUGCUGCCUUUCCACUUUCCCCGAACAGAUCGUGUGUUCCCCGGCGACGAUUCUAGAACCUUCAUGACUCUUCCCACAGCCACACGCCUCUCCCUCUUCAUGGGGCAAAGCCCACUCAACCACAACCCCCAACAUGCCUGAACUCCGCACCAGAAUAAAACACCCAACACCAACGUUCCAUGCCCCAAGCUCAAGCCCAAGCCCAAGCCCAAACACCCUACCCCGCCAGGGGAGAACGAAAAGAGCUUCCGCUAACACCAGGAGGAACAAUCGGAACACGCUCAAACGUUGUGGAAUCGGUAACCGCGAAUUAGAAGAGAAACCACAACCACAACGACGACAACAACAACAACAAGAAGUUCCUCUGGUUAGGGUUUCCGAGGAGGAAGAGAAAGCGAUGGAUGAUGAGUACGACAGCGGCGGGGGCCGGAGCGGCGACAAGGCUCCGGCCGCCGAGGAAGAAGGGAGCACUGCUCCCAUUCCCGAGAGGGUUCAAGUAGGUGGUUCUCCGUUAUACAGAUUAGAUAGAAAACUUGGUAAGGGAGGGUUCGGACAAGUGUAUGUGGGUCGGCGACUUGGCGCCGGUGCUGGAGCGUUAGAGGUAGCUUUGAAGUUUGAACAUAGGAGCAGCAAGGGGUGCAAUUAUGGACCUCCUUAUGAGUGGCAAGUUUACAAUGCAUUAGGUGGUAGUCAUGGCGUUCCACGAGUUCAUUACAAGGGACGUCAAGGUGAUUACUAUGUUAUGGUUAUGGAUAUGCUUGGCCCUAGUCUGUGGGAUGUUUGGAACAAUAACUCAAACACGAUGUCUGCGGAAAUGGUAGCAUGUAUAGCAAUUGAGGCUAUCUCCAUAUUAGAGAAGAUACACUCUAAAGGAUAUGUGCACGGUGACGUAAAACCUGAGAAUUUUUUGCUUGGCACCCCGGGAACUCCUGACGAGAAGAAGCUUUUUCUGGUUGAUCUUGGUUUAGCAACUCGAUGGCGGGAUAGUUCGACAGGCUUUCAUGUUGAGUACGAUCAACGCCCAGAUGUAUUUAGGGGAACAGUUCGUUAUGCUAGUGUGCAUGCUCAUCUCGGUAGAACAGGUAGCAGGAGAGAUGAUUUGGAAUCUCUUGCUUACACGCUAAUCUUCCUUCUUCGUGGCCGGCUACCUUGGCAAGGAUACCAGGGAGAAAACAAAGGAUUUCUUGUCUGCAAGAAAAAGAUGGCCACCUCUCCAGAGACUUUGUGUUGUGUCUGUCCUCCACCUUUUAGGCAGUUUGUGGAGUACGUGGUGAAUUUGAAGUUUGAUGAAGAACCAAAUUAUGCCAAGUAUAUAUCACUUUUUGAUGGAAUUGUUGGUCCAAAUCCAGACAUCAGACCCAUAAACACUGAUGGUGCACAAAAGCUUAUAUAUAUGGUUGGACAUAAGAGAGGACGAUUGACUGUGGAAGAAGAUGAUGAUGAACAACCAAAGAAGAAGGUCAGAAUGGGAAUGCCAGCAAUGCAAUGGAUUAGUGUGUACAAUGCUCGCCGGCCAAUGAAGCAAAGGUACCAUUACAAUGUUGCUGACGUGCGGUUGUCCCAACACAUUGAGAAGGGAUACGAGGAUGGGUUAUUUAUCAGCAGUGUAGCUUGUUGUUCUAACCUUUGGGCUCUUAUUAUGGAUGCUGGCACGGGUUUUACUGCACAAGUUCAUGAACUCUCACCCAACUUUCUUCACAAGGAAUGGAUAAUGGAACAGUGGGAAAAGAAUUAUUACAUUAGUGCCAUAGCAGGAUCUAAUAAUGGGAGCUCAUUGGUUGUAAUGUCUAAAGGGACCCAAUACUUGCAGCAAUCCUAUAAAGUCAGUGAGUCAUUUCCAUUCAAAUGGAUCAAUAAAAAAUGGAGAGAAGGAUUUUAUGUCACUGCUAUGGCCACUGCUGGGAGUAGAUGGGCAAUUGUUAUGUCCCGUGGUGCUGGAUUUUCAGACCAGGUUGUGGAACUUGAUUUCCUGUAUCCUAGUGAAGGCAUUCAUCGGAGGUGGGACAAUGGCUACCGCAUCACUUCAACUGCUGCUACAUGGGACCAAGCUGCUUUUGUUCUUAGUGUUCCAAGAAGAAAACCUGCUGAUGAAACCCAAGAGACACUCCGUACAUCUGCCUUCCCUAGUACUCAUGUCAAGGAAAAAUGGUCUAAAAAUCUCUAUAUUGCAUCUAUAUGCUAUGGGAGAACAGUUUCAUAAACUGUGUAGUUUUUUGAGAUUUCGGCUGACUUCAUUUUGACUUCAUUCAUCAAAGUGUCUGCUCUUAGAUCUGCCAGUUCAGAAUUUGGAAACCCUCUCUGACAAGUUCACUGACCAAAGAGCUAUUCAGCUUUGAUGUAUGCUAAACCUUUCUUUAUGGACGUCAUCACUUGUGAUAUGAUACAAUACCUGUGCACUGUAUAUCAAGUAUUAGAAUGCUUAUGAGCAACUUUAGAUCUUUCUUGUUCUCUGGGAUGGGUCUUUUGAUAAAGAGAUUGUAGAGAUUUGAACAAUAAUUACUGCGUUGAAGGCAUUGUGUGCAGAAUACGCUCUUGAUUCUGAUGAGCAGUUGGGUAUCGUGGAAGCUCAGCUGUUGUGAUACUGUUAACGCUUUUGUUGUGCUUGACCAUAUUGAGUUGUAUAUCACCUGAAUCUUCUUGAACAUCUGAAGCAGAUAUGCCUGUAUAUCGAUGAUAUGUUUGAUGAUGUUCAUUUGGCCUGAUGGAACAAGGCUUCAGUUCCUGACAUUAUGGUGAUUUAUACUUGUUGGUUCAUACUAUGAUUAUGAUUGUGGAGCCACCCAUAUGUCAGUGGUGAAGCUGCUCAAGGAACUGGAGCUUUUGGAACUAUGUACUGUAUGUGAUUCUUUCAUUUUUCAAAUAGGUGAACCAUUUGUAGUAGAGUGGGGAAGG